AACUAAUUCAUUGAGAUGGGGAAAGAGAGAUCUGUUUUGAUGGUUUUCAUGAUGAUGGUGGUCGUAAUAUGUAGCUCAAAAAGGAAGCAGGUUAAGAGCGAUUCAGGUGGGCUAAAGUGUUGCGACGACAACCACAUUGGGAGGUGCCUACCAUCGCAGGAUGACAACCUAUGCGACCAACUUUGCCAGAUGAGUUGCAAUAAGGGAGGUGCCUGCAAGGUUCUCAAAGGCCCACCUCCAAAUCAUUUCUGUCAUUGUUUCUGCUGAUCAUCAUCCAAAUUCUUUGAAUUAACGUCCGGCGUUAUUAGUUGAUAUUCCAAUGGACAAGAACAUUACAGCUGAAGUUAUGAAGUUUUUGAAUAUUCCCAGAGGAGUACGGCGUGUCCUUUUCAGAACAUUAAAUACCGACCGGAAAGUUAGUAUGUUUCGUGGAAUUUCUAUAUUGGUAAAUUAAUCAUUUUCAAUUGAUGAUUUCGCAUGUAUAGUCUAAAAAGGAAAGGAAAAUGAUAGAGUUACUAUUUUAUAACUA